CAUCAACUCAGAGAGGACUGGCGCCCCAGGCCUGGAGUGGGGGGAUACUCAAGUCGGAUACUGUGUUUCUAAUUCUGUGGUGUCUACUGUUACUGUAAAACAACUAACAGCAACCACAAUUCACUUUUAUAACAGCGGUUCCGUUACCCGUGUAUCAGAGAACCGACAAAAGGGAGGUGCACCGUAUGCAGGUUAGGAGUGAAAAAAGCAAGCCCUCCCCAACCACCAUCCCAAGUAAAAUCGAUUCACAGUGAUUGCAGCAGCCAUUUGGAAGGAAAUGAAAGGAACCCUCUGCGUCAACCUUCCACCUUUUUCACAGACUGUUGGCCGAUUCCGUAAAGAUUCCGUCUGAACGAAGGAACUUGGCAUCAAGAGCAUUUAAUAGCAGG
rnacentral:lncRNA from 1 species